UCUCGGUUUACACCGGCAGUUUCGUUAGAGUUCCCGGCAUUACCCGCUGGCAACUAACAAUAGGGGUUGCGCUCGUUAUGGGACUUAACCCGACACCUCACGGCACGAGCUGACGACAACCAUGCAGCACCUAGGAGAUUGCUCCGAAGAGAAUCCCGGUUUCCCGGGAGGUCAAUCCCCUUUCAAGCCCAGGUAAGGUUCCUCGCGUAUCAUCGAAUUAAACCACAUGUUCCUCCGCUUGUGCGGGCCCCCGUCAAUUCCUUUGAGUUUCAGCGUUGCCGCCGUACUCCCCAGGUGGAUCACUUAUUGCUUUCGCUCAGUCGCUGACGGUGUAUCGCCAACAACGAGUGAUCAUCGUUUACGGCGUGGACUAC
rnacentral:misc_RNA from 1 species